AGGUCAUUGCAUACUGAAUACAUAGGUAUGCAAAGCGAACGCGGCGAACUGAAACAUCUAAGUAGCUGCAGGAAAAUAAAUCAACCGAGAUUCCCAAAGUAGUGGCGAGCGAAAUGGGAUGAGCCUGCACGUUUUAGCAUGACGCAUAGUAGAACGGAUUGGAAACUCCGGCCAUAGAGGGUGAUAGCCCCUUAUACGAAAUGCGAUGUGUGGAACUAAGCGUGCGACAAGUAGGGCGGGACACGAGAAAUCCUGUCUGAAUAUGGGGGGACCAUCCUCCAAGGCUAAAUACUCGUAAUCGACCGAUAGUGAACCAGUACCGUGAGGGAAAGGCGAAAAGAACCCCGGAAGGGGAGUGAAAUAGAUCCUGAAACCGUGUGCAUACAAACAGUAGGAGCGGACUUGUUCCGUGACUGCGUACCUUUUGUAUAAUGGGUCAGCGACUUACAUUCAGUGGCAAGGUUAACCGUAUAGGGAAGCCGUAGAGAAAUCGAGUCCGAAUAGGGCGACAGUCGCUGGGUGUAGACCCGAAACCAAGUGAUCUACUCAUGGCCAGGAUGAAGGUGCGGUAACACGCCCUGGAGGUCCGAACCCACUAAUGUUGAAAAAUUAGGGGAUGAGCUGUGGGUAGGGGUGAAAGGCUAAACAAACUUGGAAAUAGCUGGUUCUCUCCGAAAACUAUUUAGGUAGUGCCUCAAGUAUCACCAUCGGGGGUAGAGCACUGUUAUGGCUAGGGGUUCAUUGCGAAUUACCAAACCAUUGCAAACUCCGAAUACCGAUGAGUGCGAGCUUGGGAGACAGACGUCGGGUGCUAACGUCCGGCGUCAAGAGGGAAACAACCCAGACCGCCAGCUAAGGUCCCAAAGAUUGGCUAAGUGGAAAACGAAGUGGGAAGGCUAAAACAGUCAGGAUGUUGGCUUAGAAGCAGCCAUCAUUUAAAGAAAGCGUAAUAGCUCACUGAUCGAGUCGUCCUGCGCGGAAGAUGUAACGGGGCUAAGCCAGUCACCGAAGCUGCGGAUAU
rnacentral:rRNA from 1 species